rnacentral:rRNA from 1 species
UGGGGAAUAUUGGACAAUGGGCGAAAGCCUGAUCCAGCCAUGCCGCGUGUGUGAAGAAGGUCUUCGGAUUGUAAAGCACUUUAAGCGAGGAGGAGGGUACUGGUAUUAAUACUACCAGGUACUGGACGUUACUCGCAGAAUAAGCACCGGCUAACUCUGUGCCAGCAGCCGCGGUAAUACAGAGGGUGCAAGCGUUAAUCGGAAUUACUGGGCGUAAAGCGCGCGUAGGUGGUUCGUUAAGUUGAAUGUGAAAGCCCCGGGCUCAACCUGGGAACUGCAUCCAAAACCGGCGAGCUAGAGUAGGGCAGAGGGUGGUGGAAUUUCCUGUGUAGCGGUGAAAUGCGUAGAUAUAGGAAGGAACACCAGUGGCGAAGGCGACCACCUGGGCUCAUACUGACACUGAGGUGCGAAAGCGUGGGGAGCAAACAGG